rnacentral:rRNA from 1 species
UACGUAGGGGGCAAGCGUUGUCCGGAUUUAUUGGGCGUAAAGAGCGUGUAGGCGGCCAGACAGGUCCGUUGUGAAAACUCGAGGCUCAACCUCGAGACGCCGAUGGAAACCGUCUGGCUAGAGUCCGGAAGAGGAGAGUGGAAUUCCUGGGUGUAGCGGUGAAAUGCGCAGAUAUCAGGAAGAACACCCGUGGCUAAGGCGGCUCUCUAGUACGGUACUGACGCUGAGACGCGAAAGCGUGGGGAGCGAACAGG